rnacentral:siRNA from 1 species
UGAGACUUUAGUUGUUAAAUUC